UACGGAAGGGGCAAGCGUUGUUCGGAAUCAUUGGGCGUAAAGGGCGCGUAGGUGGUUUUGUAUGUCUACCGUGAAAGCGUACGGCUCAACCGUAUUUUGUCGGUGGAAACUGCAGGACUUGAGGCUGGGAGGGGCUGGUGGAAUUCCCUGUGUAGCGGUGAAAUGCGUAGAGAUGGGGGAGAACACUCGUGGCGAAGGCGGCCAGCUAGACCAGUUCUGACACUGAGGCGCGACAGCGUGGGGAGCAAACAGG
rnacentral:rRNA from 1 species